rnacentral:rRNA from 1 species
UACGAAGGGGGCUAGCGUUGUUCGGAAUUACUGGGCGUAAAGCGUGCGCAGGCGGCUAUCCAAGUCAGUGGUGAAAGCCCGGAGCUCAACUCCGGAACUGCCAUUGAAACUGUUUAGCUCGAGUACGAGAGAGGUGAGUGGAAUUCCCAGUGUAGAGGUGAAAUUCGUAGAUAUUGGGAAGAACACCGGUGGCGAAGGCGGCUCGCUGGAUCUUUUCUGACGCUGAGGCGCGAAAGCUAGGGGAGCAAACGGG